UACGGGAGUGGCAAGCGUUAUCCGGAAUUAUUGGGCGUAAAGCGUCCGCAGGCGGUUUUGAAAGUCUGUUGUUAAAGCGUGGAGCUUAACUCCAUUUCAGCAAUGGAAACUACAAGACUAGAGUGUGGUAGGGGCAGAGGGAAUUCCCGGUGUAGCGGUGAAAUGCGUAGAUAUCGGGAAGAACACCAGUGGCGAAGGCGCUCUGCUGGGCCAUAACUGACGCUCAUGGACGAAAGCCAGGGGAGCGAAAGGAAUUAGAUACCCCUGUAGUCCUGGCCGUAAACGAUGAACACUAGGUGUCGGGGGAAUCGACCCCCUCGGUGUCGUAGCCAACGCGUUAAGUGUUCCGCCUGGGGAGUACGCACGCAAGUGUGAAACUCAAAGGAAUUGACGGGGGCCCGCACAAGCGGUGGAGUAUGUGGUUUAAUUCGAUGCAACGCGAAGAACCUUACCAGGGUUUGACAUCCUGCGAAUCCCUUGGAAACUAGGGAGUGCCUUCGGGAACGCAGUGACAGGUGGUGCAUGGCUGUCGUCAGCUCGUGUCGUGAGAUGUUGGGUUAAGUCCCGCAACGAGCGCAACCCACGUCUUUAGUUGCCAGCAUUUAGUUGGGCACUCUAGAGAGACCGCCGGUGAUAAACCGGAGGAAGGUGUGGAUGAUGUCAAGUCAUCAUGCCCCUUACAUCCUGGGCUACACACGUACUACAAUGCUACGGACAAAGGGCAGCAAACUCGCGAGAGCUAGCAAAUCCCAUAAACCGUGGCUCAGUUCAGAUCGUAGGCUGCAACUCGCCUACGUGAAGGAGGAAUCGCUAGUAAUCGCAGGUCAGCAUACUGCGGUGAAUACGUUCCCGGGCCU
rnacentral:rRNA from 1 species